rnacentral:rRNA from 1 species
GACGAACGCUGGCGGCGUGCUUAACACAUGCAAGUCGAACGGAAAGGCGGUGCUUUUGUGGGGUGCUGGAGGGGGAAACGGGUGAGUAACAUGAGAAUAACCUGCCCUAGAUUUUGGGAUAACUUCAGGAAGCUGGGGCUAAUACCGUAUCGUAGCACCAGCUGCAUGGAGGGGGAUGGAAACUUUCGGCGCUGUGGGAUGGAGUCGCGGCUUAUCAGCUAGUUGGUGGGGUAGUGGCUUACCAAGGCGAUGACGGGUAGCCGGCCUGAGAGGGUGACCGGCCACAUGGGGACUGAGAUACGGCCCUUACUCCUACGGGAGGCAGCAGUGGGGAAUAUUGCACAAUGGGCCGAGGGCUUGUGCAGGAACUCCGCGGUGGGGAUGACGGUUUUUGGGUUGGAAAAGUCUUUCGCCUGUGACGAAGCGUGAGGACGGUAAAUAGAGAAGAAGGCACGGCUAAAUUCGUG